rnacentral:rRNA from 1 species
UGGCGUACGGGUGAGUAACGCGUGGGUAAUCUACCUCUGAAUUGGGGAUAACAUUGCGAAAGCGAUGCUAAUACCGGAUAUUAUUCUGGGAGCUUCGGAUUUCAGAAUUAAAGGUGGCCUCUACAUGUAAGCUACUGUUUGGAGAUGAGCCCGCGUACCAUUAGUUUGUUGGUAGGGUAAUGGCCUACCCAAGGCUACGAUGGUUAGCUGGUCUGAGAGGGAUGAUCAGCCCACACUGGAACUGACACACGGUCCCAGACUCCUACGGGGAGGCAGCAGUGAGGAAUUUUGCGCAAAUGGGGGAAACCCCUGACGCAGCAACGCCGCGUGAGUGAUGAAGGCUUUAGGGUCGUAAAGCUCUGUCAAAGUGGGAAGAAACUGUUUGAUGCUAAUAUCAUCAUACACUGACGGUACCACUGAAGGAAGCACCGGCUAACUCCGUGCCAGCAGCCGCGGUAAUACGGAGGGUGCAAGCGUUAAUCGGAAUUACUGGGCGUAAAGCGCGCGUAGGCGGUUUGGUAAGUCAGAUGUGAAAGCCCUGGGCUCAACCUGGGAAUUGCAUUUGAUACUGCCUGACUAGAGUAUGGUAGAGGGAAGUGGAAUUCCAGGUGUAGCGGUGAAAUGCGUAGAUAUCUGGAGGAACAUCAGUGGCGAAGGCGACUUCCUGGACCAAUACUGACGCUCAGGCGCGAAAGCGUGGGUAGCAAACAGGAUUAGAUACCCUGGUAGUCCACGCCGUAAACGAUGUCAACUAGCCGUUGG